GCGCCCGUAGUCUAGGGGUAGGAUGCGGGCCCCCCAAGCCCGUGACCCGGGUUCGAAUCCCGGCGGGCGCA
rnacentral:tRNA from 1 species